rnacentral:rRNA from 1 species
AGUGGAGCGACGAACCAGGCUUCGGCCUGGGGCAAAGCCGCGAACGGGUGAGUAACACGUGGGUAACCUGCCCCGAUGAUUGGGACAACCCGAGGAAACUCGGGCUAAUACCGAGUGUGCCCCCCGGCCAUAAGGCCGCUGGGGAAAGGAAGCUUCGGCCUUCGCAUCGGGAUGGGCCCGCGGCCCAUUAGCUUGUUGGUGAGGUAACGGCUCACCAAGGCGACGAUGGGUAGCUGGUCUGAGAGGACGAUCAGCCACACUGGGACUGAGACACGGCCCAGACUCCUACGGGAGGCAGCAGUGGGGAAUCUUGCGCAAUGCGCGAAAGCGUGACGCAGCAACGCCGCGUGGGGGAAGAAGGCCUUCGGGUUGUAAACCCCUUUCAGUUGGGACGAAGCUCCGCCGGUGAAUAGCCGGCUGGAGUGACGGUACCUUCAGAAGAAGCCCCGGCUAACUACGUGCCAGCAGCCGCGGUAAUACGUAGGGGGCAAGCGUGGUCCGGAAUCAUUGGGCGUAAAGAGCGUGUANGCGGCUCGGUAAGUCCGCUCUGAAAGCCCGGGGCUCAACCCCGGGAGGCGGGCGGAUACUGUCGGGCU